AUGAUGUGAAUGAAUACUGUCUGUGCUGAAUAACAUAAAAUAACAUUGGUAAUGUUAUUUAUGUUAUUUCCCCCCCUGGUUGAAGAGGUCCCGUAAACCUAGCGGUUUUGAAACUCAGUGAGCAAGGCGUCUUAGACAAGCUGAAAAGCAAAUGGUGGUACGAUAAAGGGGAAUGUGGAAGCAAGGACUCCGGAAGUAAGGACAAGACGAGUGCUCUGAGCCUCAGCAAUGUGGCCGGCGUAUUCUACAUCCUGAUCGGAGGACUUGGACUAGCCAUGCUGGUUGCCUUAAUCGAAUUCUGCUACAAAUCCCGUAGUGAAUCCAAGCGGAUGAAGGGUUUCUGUUUGAUCCCACAGCAAUCCAUCAAUGAAGCCAUAAGGACAUCGACCCUCCCCCGAAACAGUGGGGCAGGAGCCAGCGGCAGCGGCAGUGGAGAGAAUGGCCGGGUGGUCAGCCAUGACUUCCCCAAGUCCAUGCAAUCAAUUCCCUGCAUGAGCCACAGUUCAGGGAUGCCCUUGGGAGCCACAGGAUUGUAACUGGAGCAGAUGGAGACCCCUUGGGGAAUAGGCUCGGGCUCCCCCAGCCCCAACCCAAACCCUUCAGUGCCAAAAACAACAAAAUGAAACGCAACCACCACGAACCACCACGACCACAAGGAGGAUGACUCAACAGGUUUACCUGAAGAAUUGAAAAACCACUUUGCGAUCCGCCCUUUCCCUUUUUGAUGUUCUUUUAUUUCUCUCCUUGGGCUAUAUGAGAAUGAUAAAUAACAGUGUACUGCAAUAAGGGGAGAGUUACCCUGACUGAUGAAGGUGGUAUCUCUGGAAAUUGAGUCACUAGAACACUAAUGAGGAAACUGGACUGUUUUCUUUUAAUUCAGUUGUUAAUGUGUCUUAGUGUGUGCGAAUUCUUUUCUUACUAAUAUCCAUGGUUCACAGAUUCUGUUAGGCCCCUUCCUUCUCUUUCUUAUUCCUAACUCUCUACUUACCCCUCUUCAGUCUUCAAUUGAAGAUUCAAGAUUCAUUCCACCUUAUAAGCAAGCAAAAGGAAAAAAGCAACCUUCAAACUAAUUUGCCAUGGGGGUUCUCCAGAUUACCCUCCUCUCCUUGGCUCCAAGUCUUGGAUGGAAAUAGACAUUGCUGUAGAAGUGGGCCACCUUUCCCCAGUGGGGCGCUGUCGAAGCACGGGUUUAGUCAAGAACACAUGUGAAAAGAAACUCAGAAUGAGGGUGGUGGAGAAGGCAGAGGAAGAUGUGAGGUCAGAGACUCAUGAAGAUACUGCUGCUCAGGAAAAGCUUCCUUUAAUGUGUGUGAGUCACGCCAUAGGCAAUAGGUGGUAUGGUAUAUUUCUUCACAGAAACAACCUCAGCUCUGAGAAGUACAUCCUCCUGCUGGGCUCAGGCUCAAAGGCACUCUGGUGGUUGAAGGGCAUUUGGCCUCCUGAACCAAGUACAGCCGUAGGAAGACCUGGAAGCCAGGAAAAUAUCACCCAUGCUCACGUUUCCUUUCCUUGACAUUUGAGCAGGAACCCCAUUGUGGAGUAGACUCUCUUUCUCUGUGGAGCCUCUGAUAUGGGGCAAACAAUUGGUGAGCUAAGUGCAAAAGAAAGGUGAUGGAAGAAUUUUGAAAGAGGAAGCCUUGUAAAAGCCCACAUGCAAUAGAGCUUUCCAUAGUAUACCCUGUCCUAGGUUUAAGAGACCAAAUAUGAAGUUUAGGUAAUUCUGAUGACAGAGAACUUGAGCUUUUUUGUUCGUAUAGAAUAUCAUCUUAGCAUGUGGCCAGAUGAUGUUCUAUCAUCUUUAGAAAGCAAGAUACCCAAGGCUAAAUUAUUUGAAAAAGGAUAGGAAGAUUAAUUUAGUAACAAUGACAUUGGUAGACCUUAAGGUCACUGACCCCAACUUCUAACCCAAGGAGACUGACCUUCCUCCUGGUUGAUAUAAAAAGAGGACAUUGUAUCCCAAUGACCAGGAUAAAUACAUCCAUGAUUGUGUCUAAAGAGCUAAACUAAAGCAAGAUUGGAGAAGUGACACUGAUUGUGGAAAGAAGCCAAGGCUGGCUGCAACUUUGGUUGGAAGUGGGAGUCCCUGGCACACAACUUUCUUGGAGAUAACAACUCUCAUUCUUGGUGCAAUUGGCUUCCAGAUCUCCAGCAGCCACUCUCCUAGGUGCAUGAUUCAGUGUGUGCCAUGUGUCAUUAGCUUUUACUGAUAACCACAUUCUGGCUUGUUCCCUUAACCCCAACUUCUAUUUGGUCUGCUCUGCUAGGGGUUAUCAUUAGCAAUUGACAAGCUAAAGGUUUUGGAGCCUACCUAGGAUUAAGUGUAGCAUGAUUGGUUUCAUCUGUGGAUUCUCUCAGUGGACACUCACCACCUCUAUGUUUCUCCCAUUCAACUCUCAUCAGCCACAGUUAAGAACCAUUCUAAAACAAGUCUUCAUCCUUUCAACUCAAGUGUUGUUCAGUCUCCCUUGUGUCAACGUGGGCACAGUACAUGAAGUAGGACCCUCAAAACGGAUAUCACUUUUCAGUACUUCCAGCUGGAGUCCCCCUAUCCUUGCUCUCACACAAUAUUUUUCUCAGUCCUUAGCAUACCACUGCAGAAUCUGAUGUGACUUGCCAUUAGGGAGCCUGCAUUUUGGAAGAGUUGGAAAUAACCCUCCAUCGUCAACAUGCUUCAAAGACCUUUUGCCUUUGGCCUGGUAAGAUGCCUCUCCAACAACUGAGCCCACCAGUAACAUGAUCUGAUGGGGAGAGACUGUCUAUACUGGAAAUGGAAAUCUGUGUUAUGGGGGGGGCGGGGUCCAAGACUCCAUCCAAAGAUGCUUUUCAUCAAUGAAGGGUGAAGGGAAAACAAAAGCAAGAAAAAAGUUAACUUGUAUUAUGUAUUUUUACUACACUUUUCUUAAAAAUAGAGCAUUGGGAAAACUCUGAAAGAGAUUGACAUUUUUCUCAACAGGAAUCCAUACUUAACAGUUCUGGCUUUCAUUAAAUUUUGCUCUUUGGUACCUGGGCCUUUUAUUUAACAUCUAUAUUUGUUUUAACUCUCUUGGCAGAUGUGUGAAAGGAUUCUUGCUUAAUCAAACACUAAAUAUUUUUGGUUCCUGUUUUUCUUUCAAAUAGCCAGGAUAUUUUUUUCUUUUG